GAUGAAGAACGUAGCAAAAUGCAAUAAGUAAUGUGAAUUGCAGAAUUCAGUGAAUCAUCGAAUCUUUGAACGCACAUUGCGCCCGCUGGUAUUCCGGCGGGCAUGCCUGUUCGAGCGUCAUUUCAACCCUCAAGCCCCCGGGUUUGGUGUUGGGGAUCGGCUCUGCCCUUCUGGGCGGUGCCGCCCCCGAAAUACAUUGGCGGUCUCGCUGCAGCCUCCAUUGCGUAGUAGCUAACACCUCGCAACUGGAACGCGGCGCGGCCAUGCCGUAAAACCCCAACUUCUGAAUGUUGACCUCGGAUCAGGUAGGAAUACCCGCUGAACUUAAGCAUAUCAAUAAGCGGAGGA
rnacentral:misc_RNA from 1 species